AACAGGGAUUGCCCUAGUAACGGCGAGUGAAGCGGCAACAGCUCAAAUUUGAAAUCUGGCCUCGGCCCGAGUUGUAAUUUGCAGAGGAAGCUUUAGGCGCGGCACCUUCUGAGUCCCCUGGAACGGGGCGCCAUAGAGGGUGAGAGCCCCGUAUAGUUGGAUGCCUAGCCUGUGUAAAGCUCCUUCGACGAGUCGAGUAGUUUGGGAAUGCUGCUCAAAAUGGGAGGUAAAUUUCUUCUAAAGCUAAAUACCGGCCAGAGACCGAUAGCGCACAAGUAGAGUGAUCGAAAGAUGAAAAGCACUUUGAAAAGAGGGUUAAAUAGCACGUGAAAUUGUUGAAAGGGAAGCGCUUGUGACCAGACUUGCGCCGGGCUGAUCAUCCGGUGUUCUCACCGGUGCACUCUGCCCGGCUCAGGCCAGCAUCGGUUCUCGCGGGGGGAUAAAGGCCCAGGGAACGUAGCUCCUCCGGGAGUGUUAUAGCCCUGGGUGCAAUGCCCUCGCGGGGACCGAGGUUCGCGCAUCUGCAAGGAUGCUGGCGUAAUGGUCACCAGCGACCCGUCUUGAAACACGGACCAAGGAGUCAAGGUUUUGCGCGAGUGUUUGGGUGUAAAACCCGCACGCGUAAUGAAAGUGAACGUAGGUGAGAGCUUCGGCGCAUCAUCGACCGAUCCUGAUGUUUUCGGAUGGAUUUGAGUAGGAGCGUUAAGCCUUGGACCCGAAAGAUGGUGAACUAUGCUUGGAUAGGGUGAAGCCAGAGGAAACUCUGGUGGAGGCUCGCAGCGGUUCUGACGUGCAAAUCGAUCGUCAAAUCUGAGCAUGGGGGCGAAAGACUAAUCGAACCAUC
rnacentral:rRNA from 1 species